UGGCUUCAUGUAUUUGAUUUUAGAAUGGACUGACUAAAGAACCUUUUCAGGUUGCAUGGCUGUAAGCUGUCAGAGAGAAGCUGUGAAGCUCUGUCCUCAGUUCUCAGCUCCCAGUCCUCUAGUCUGAGAGAGCUGGACCUGAGUGACAACAACCUGCAGGAUUCAGGAGUAAAUCUGGUGUCAGCUGGACUGAAGAGUCCACACUGCAGACUGGAAACUCUCAGUCUGUCAGGCUGUCUGGUCUCAGAGAAAGGCUGUACAUCUCUGGUCUCAGCUCUGAGCUCCAACCCCUCCCAUCUGAGAGUGCUGGACCUGAGCUACAAUCAUCCAGGAGACUCAGGAGUGAAGCUGCUGUCAGCUGGACUUAAG